rnacentral:misc_RNA from 1 species
UAUUAUUUUGAAAAAUAUGCUCACUCAAAAUUUGAUAUUUAGGGUCGAAGUCAUGUUAAUAAGGGCCAUAGUGAUAGCGAUGGAGGACAUAUUCCAAUAAAUCUGUCCGACCUGAUUGUGAUGAGCUAGUGCUUAAAAACUAAGUUUAAGGGCAUAGGAAUUGGGAUGAGAAUUUCAUUUCUGUAUUUACUACAAAGGAGUUUAAGGAUAAAAGAAAAUUGCUUGUUGGCUAAAACUGAAAAAUCCGGUCACAGCAGCAUCAAAUUUAGCAUUUUCGAUGUUUGUUUUGAUUGUUUAUGUGGUGGAACAAAUAGAUAAUAUGCAUGGGAGUUAUGGCUUCAGGGUGCAAAGGAGGCAUUUAAUUUGUUAAAAUAAAUAAAGGUACCAAAAGUUUGUGGAUUAGGGUUGUAAUUAAUUAACUAGAGAGAAAAACUUUCUGUUCACCGAGUAAUAGUUGACAUAAACGUGAAUACUGUGGGCAGCCUUGGGAGAUAGAAAAGAAGAAAAGGAAGAAUAAAAGAGGAAAAAAGAUCAUGUUUUUCAACUAGCAAUUCUUUCACAAACUGAAAAUACUUAUAAUAACCAAUUUUAAGAGAUUGUGAUUAUUAAAUUUAUGGCUACUAACAAAA